rnacentral:rRNA from 1 species
UGACCUGCCCAAGAGAUCGGGAUAACACCUGGAAACAGAUGCUAAUACCGGAUAACAACAGAUGAUGCCUAUCAACUGUUUAAAAGAUGGUUCUGCUAUCACUCUUGGAUGGACCUGCGGUGCACUAGCUAGUUGGUAGGGUAACGGCCUACCAAGGCGAUGAUGCAUAGCCGAGUUGAGAGACUGAUCGGCCACAUUGGGACUGAGACACGGCCCAAACUCCUACGGGAGGCAGCAGCC